CUGCAUGUAGCACCCCGGGCUUCUCUGAAACAAUAAUCGUAUGAAGAAGAAAGCCCCAAUGCUUGUGCUAAAUCAGAUCUAUUGCCGUCGAGUGUUGCAGUUCAGCCUCUGUACCUUUUCAAUGGCCGCUUCUGUGUCAAAUUGACGGCUACACAUCAUCAAUAAUCCUUGUAAUUUUUAUAACUUUUUCAGUACCUCAACUUAAGCGUUUUUCCUAAAUCAAUUAACUGGAAAGAGGUCUAGUCAUACUUAACCCUAGGUGGUGUUACCGUGGAGGUUUUAUUCUUUUUAUUUGUUUUUCCUCUAAAAUUAUCUUCUAUAAUCGUGUUUUUCAUUGAUUUGUGUUGUGUCGGCAAUGAUUUGAAUGAUUUAUCCGCGCUUCUGAGAGUAAUCAGUGAAGUAAAGGAUUCAAAAUGGUUGAAUUUCUUAAUAUGAGCCGACGAAGGUUUAUGAAAAUAUGCAGUGAUGAUUGAAUACACAGCUUUAAGCCAGUUCUGCUUCAGAGAAUUCAUGAUUGAUAGAGCUGUUAUUUACUCUGAGCUUCUUCAUUUGUUUUUUUUUUAUUUUAAUAUUUUUCGAUGAUGAUAUAAUCCAAUUUUAUGAGGUACGUGGAUCCAAGACCCUGUUUUACAGGGAGAACCACUUGGUUGAAGCUGUAUUUCAAAUGGUAUUACUGGAUUUUACUGAGGAUUAUUAAUUUUUAUUAAUAUUAUUGAGUUUAAACUAUACUUUUUACCCUGGAUUAUGUAACGGGUUUGGAGUCUGAAAAAACUCAGAAAAUAUGUGUUGUCAUCAGCUUCUUCUUUCGUAAUAUUAACGAGACUGGAGUUAAAUAACAGCACAAAAUUG
rnacentral:lncRNA from 1 species